ensembl:lncRNA
GUGUGUGUGUGUGUGUGUGGCUGGCUCAGGAAGGUGGUGGGAGGGGUGGAUGUACAGAUCUAAGAGGACUUAUCAUGGCGUUUAUUUUCUUACAGUGUGUGUCAUGUUAAAUGUAUGAUGCGUCCUGCACAGAGCUCCUCACUGACCAGACUGAAAAGGAAUCAGUGCCAAGAGCCAGUUAAAAAAAAAAAAAAAAAGACCUUUGAAAAAAGAAAUCAGCGUGUAACUUGAAAUCCCCCUCCAGUGUCGUCGUCUCCCCCCCCCCUUCCCCUUCGGGGCGCACGCUACGUUAAGGCCCAAAAAGUGAAAACAAAUCAACAAAAACACAACAAGCUAGAUUCUUGUACAAAGUUGUGAAAGACGGUUCGAGACGUGUUCCUGCUCCUGGAUCACGGCCCCCUGGGUCCUGAGAAGGCUUCUGGGGCUUUGAUUCCCUUCAUUUUUUCUUCAUUAGUGGACUUCUCUUUGAUUUGCCCGCCAGUUUCCCCUACAGUAAAGACGCUGCUUCAUUGGGGGCAGAGGUCAAACGAGGAAAGGAGAUACGAUCAUUCCAUGGGAUCGUCACACAUCUGAAGCCCUUUCCCUCAUGUUCCCUCUGGGUUUCUCACAACCUGAAUGUCGCUUCACUUCAGUGCUUUGUUUCCACUGUAACAUGUUUGUGAACAGAUGCGGAGCCCUCCCCCUCUGUCAUCUCGGUGCUGCAGCCUUGUUAGUGUUGGGUUUGAGUGUCCCGUUCUUUGGUGUGUUUUAUUUUCUCCAGUGAUGGAGGCUCGACCCUUUCACAGUUGUUCUUCCCGCCAAAUCGUGUACUGUUCAUAACAGCCCUAUUCUAUGUUGGAAUGCAGGCGCAAAUGAGAAUCUGACCUUAUUUCUUUAACUAUUUUGUUGGGUUUAUCUCAUUGUAUUUCUUUGAAUCCUUUUGGAUUUUUUACAUAUAAAUAUGAUUUCUUUUUUUUUUUAAACAAGAAAUUAUCCUUUCUGACAGUUCUGUGCAUUCCGUAUACCAACAAAGAGAUGCGGAUGAGUUCUCUGGGAUGGUUUGGAUUUUUUUAUAUAUAUAUAUAUAUAUAUAUAUAUAUAUAUAUGAAAAAAAUGCUGCUGUGGUCUCGUUUUUACGCAAGAGCUGCUUCAUCACGUUUUUCCGUUUCCAGGAAAUGCUGUAAUCAGUUUCAUGUUUUCUACAAGUGUCCCCCACCUGGGUCGAAGGUCAUUGAAGACCUCACCCCCACCUGGGUCCUGGGUGUAAAGACAGUUGGAAGACCACUCCCCUAUCAGGGUCCUGGGUUAGAAAACCGUUGAAGACGUUGUUUUCUGUGUGGUCUCUGUUCCCCGACCUCACAAGAACGAGAAACCUUCAGUACAUCCGCUGUGGACCGGAUCUUCUACAGGUUUAACAUUUGAUGGGCCAACAGCGCACACAAACACACUGGGUCGGCCUUAGAGGCACACACACCAGACCUCCCCCAUCCCUCCACUCAGACCCUCAGACCCAUGGAUACUGAAUGUUGGACAAAGUGAUCUGACCCAAAAUUAACCAGCACCUUAAACUGAAUCAGACACCAUACAACCGGGUCCAAGUUGCGCUGUGGUGGAAAUUCAUUACCUGGACUUGUUCUUCUCGCCGGUUUCUGGACAUCCCCCAGAGGAACGAAGUAAACAGCGCUGCAUUAUGGUGUUCAUGGACACUUAUUCAAGCCUUCUUUUCCCGUUGGUUUCUUUGCAGAGCGUUAACCCCCCCCCCACACACACACACAAACACACACACCCAUCCCUUCUGAAGAGUACAGGAGCAAAAGAGAUGUAAUGCAUUUUGAUAAUAAAAUACUUAUGAUGGGAAAUGUAUUUUGGAAAGAAAACAAAAACUGCAACUGUUUCAUCUUCUAUCCCGUACACAAACACACUUCACAGCAAUGCAAUGUUCUAUUUAUUGAUAAGAUAGUUUCA